UCCAUUAGAUUGGUACAACAACGUCGAG
rnacentral:sRNA from 1 species